rnacentral:rRNA from 1 species
UACGGGGGGGCAAGCGUUGUCCGGAAUCACUGGGCGUAAAGGGCGCGUAGGCGGCUCGGUAAGUAGGGGGUGAAAUCCUGCGGCUUAACCGCAGGGCUGCCUUCUAAACUGUCGAGCUUGAGCACGGUAGAGGCAGAUGGAAUUCCCGGUGUAGCGGUGGAAUGCGUAGAGAUCGGGAAGAACAUCAGUGGCGAAGGCGGUCUGCUGGGCCGUUGCUGACGCUGAGGCGCGACAGCGUGGGGAGCAAACAGG